GUCCCGCCUGCCCUGUGACCAUGAGUUUAACGGCCGCGGUAUUUUGACCGUGCAAAGGUAGCGCAAUCACUUGUCUUUUAAAUGAAGACCCGUAUGAAUGGCAUAACGAGGGCUUAACUGUCUCCCUUUUCCAGUCAAUGAAAUUGAUCUCCCCGUGCAGAAGCGGGGAUCCCCACAUAAGACGAGAAGACCCUAUGGAGCUUUAGACAAAAAACAGCCCAUGUCAAACACCCCUAAAUAAAGGACAAAACUAAUUGGCCCCUGUCCUAAUGUCUUUGGUUGGGGCGACCGCGGGGAAACAAAAAACCCCCAUGUGGACUGAAGGCACCCUUCUUCACAACCAAGAGCCACAGCUCUAAGUAACAGAACAUCUGACCAACAAGAUCCGGAAUAAUAACCAAUCAACGGACCGAGUUACCCUAGGGAUAACAGCGCAUUCUCCUUCUAAAGCCCAUAUCGACAAGGAGGUUUACAACCUCGAUGUUGGAUCAGGACAUCCUAUGGGUGCACCCGCUAUUAGGGG
rnacentral:rRNA from 1 species